UACGAAGGGGGCUAGCGUUGCUCGGAAUUACUGGGCGUAAAGGGAGCGUAGGCGGACAGUUAAGUCAGAGGUGAAAGCCCAGGGCUCAACCCUGGAAUUGCCUUUGAUACUGAUUGUCUUGAGUAUGGGAGAGGUGUGCGGAACUCCGAGUGUAGAGGUGAAAUUCGUAGAUAUUCGGAAGAACACCAGUGGCGAAGGCGGCACACUGGCCCAUUACUGACGCUGAGGCUCGAAAGCGUGGGGAGCAAACAGG
rnacentral:rRNA from 1 species